GGGGAAGGGGGAAAGAGAAGGGAAAAGGGGAAUAAGGAUGGGGAUGGGGGAAAGGACAGAAAAUAGGGGGAAAGGGGGAAGGGAACGGGGGGAAAAGGGAAGGGGGAAAGAGGGGAAGGGGAAGGGAGUGAGGGGGGAAAGAGAAGGGGGAGGAGAAGGGAAAAGGGGAAUAAGGGGAUGGGGAAGGAAAGAGGGAAGGGGGAAAAGGGGGAACAAGGAACGGGAUGGGGGAAAGGAGAGGAAAUAGGAGGGAAAAAGACAUAAAAAGGGACGGAAAAGGAGAAGGGGAAGAGGGAGGAGAGGAAAAGAAGGGGAAGAGAAAAGGGGAAAGGGAAGAAGAGGGGAAGGAGGGGAAAUAGAAGGGAAAGGGAAAGGGUUGAAAGGGAAAAAGGGGAAAGAGGAUGAAGGUGGAAUGGGAAAGGGAAAUAGAUGGGGAAGGAGGAGAGGAAAUAGGGAAAGGAGGAAGGAAGAGGAAACAGGGAGGGGAAAUGGGGGGGGAAAUGGGGGGUGGGAGGGAUGUGGGGCAGGAGGACGGCCCCAUAGGGACACACACACACCAUUAAACCCCCCAGCACCAUUAAACCCCCCCAGCACCAUUAAACCCCCCAGUAUCACGCCGGGCUCUCACUGGUGCCACUGGACUUUAUUGAGCCGCAUGGGGAUGGUGCAGCCCACAGCACUGGGCCGUACUGGUCCAUACUGGGCUGUACUGGGGGGCCCUGCCACCCCACCAGGCUCCGGUCGGUGUCUCCGCGGUGGGGGGGGGGGCAGCGGCCCCUCAGAAGCUCACCAGGGUGUACACCAUGCUGAGGGAUGGGGGUCAGAGACCCACAGCGACCCACAGCGACCCACAGCUUACCCCAGCCCCAUCCAUCCCAUCCCCAUCCCAUCCCAUCCAUCCCAUCCCAUCCCAUCCCAUCCCAUCCCAUCCCAUCCAUCCCAUCCAUCCCAUCCCAUCCCAUCCCAUCCCAUCCCAUCCCAUCCUCCAUCCAUCCAUCCAUCCCAUUCCCAUCCCAUCAUCCAUCCCAUGCCAUCCAGUCCAUCCCAUGCCUCCCAUCCACGCCACUCAUUCCCCAUCCAUCCAUCUCCCACCCUUCCAUGUCCCAUCCAUCCCAUCCAUCCCCACCCUAUCCAUCCCAAUCCAUCCCAUCCCAUCCAUCCCAUCCAUCCCAUCCCAUCCAUCCAUCCCAUCCCAUCAUCCAUCCCAUCCAUCCCGAUCCCAUCCCAUCCCAUCCCUAUCCAAUCCUCAUCCAGUCCAUCCAUCCCAUCCCAUCCAUCCAUCGCUCAUCAUCCCAUCCAUCGCGCAAUCCCAUCCAUUCCAUCCAUCCCAUCCAGUCCCAUCCCCCAAUCCAUCCCAUCCAUGCCCAUCGCCAUCCAUCGCCAUCCCAUCCAUCCCAUCCCCAUCCCCAUCCCAUCCCAUCUCCAUCCCACCCACCCCAUUCAUCCACCCAUCCCAUCCACCUCAUUCACCCCCAUCCAUCCCCUCCAACCCAUCCCAUCCAUCAUUCCAUCCAUCCAUCCAUCCCAUCCCAUGCCAUCCAUCCCAUCCCAUCCCAUGCCCAUCCUCCCAUCCAUCCCAUUCCAUCCCAUCCAUAAUCUCCCAGUCCCAUCCCAUCCAUCCAUUCCAUCCCAUCCCAUCCCAUCCCAUCCCAUCCCAUCCAUCCAUCCAUCCAUCCAUCCGCAUCCAUCCAUCUCCCCAGUCCAAUCCCAUUGAUCCCACCAUCCAUCACCCAUCCAUCGCCAAUCCAUCCCAUCCCAUCCCAUACCCAUCGCAUCCAUCCCAUCCAUCCCAUCCCAUCCCAUCCAUCCAUCCAUCCCAUCCCAUCCCAUCUUCCAUCCAUCCCAUCCAUUCCAUUCCACCCAUCCAUGCGCUAUCCAUGCCCAUCCCAUCCAUCUAUUGAUCCCUCCCAUCCCAUCCCAUCCAUCAUCCCAUCCAUCCAUCCAUCCAUCCCAUCCUCAUCCAUCCAUACCCAUCCCAUGCCCAUCCAUCCAUCCAUCAUCCAUCCCAUCCAUCAUCCAUCUCCAACCAUCCAUCCAAAUCCAGUGUUUCCAUCACCAUCUUAUUUUUCCGCAUCGCAUUCCAUCAGUC
rnacentral:lncRNA from 1 species